rnacentral:tRNA from 1 species
GCUUCCAUAGCUCAGCAGGUAGAGCACUUCCAUGGUAAGGAAGGGGUCAGCGGUUCGAGUCCGCUUGGAAGCU